CCCUUAGAUGUUCUGGGCCGCACGCGUGCUACACUGAGUGGAUCAGCGGGUCAGGUUGCGCGAAAGUGUUUCCUAAUCUUUAAAUCCGCUCGUGAUGGGGAUUGACGGUUGCAAUUUUCCGUCAUGAACGAGGAAUACCUUGUAAGCGCGGGUCAUCAUCCCGCGCUGAAUACGUCCCUGCCCUUUGUACACACCGUCCGUCGCUCCUACCGAUUGAGUGGUCCGGUGAGGCUUUGGGAUCUGAGCGGAAAGAGUGUUUCGCUGUUUCUGCCCGGAAAACUCAGUCGAACCUUAUCAUUUAGAGGAAGGAGAAGUCGUAACA
rnacentral:rRNA from 1 species